rnacentral:rRNA from 1 species
UGGGUGGAUCAGUGGCGAACGGGUGAGUAACACGUGAGUAACCUGCCCCUGACUUUGGGAUAACUCCGGGAAACCGGGGCUAAUACCGGAUAUGAGGCGUGCCUGCAUGGGCGUGUCUGGAAAGAUUUAUCGGUUGGGGAUGGGCUCGCGGCCUAUCAGCUUGUUGGUGGGGUGAUGGCCUACCAAGGCGACGACGGGUAGCCGGCCUGAGAGGGCGACCGGCCACACUGGGACUGAGACACGGCCCAGACUCCUACGGGAGGCAGCAGUGGGGAAUAUUGCACAAUGGGCGCAAGCCUGAUGCAGCGACGCCGCGUGAGGGAUGACGGCCUUCGGGUUGUAAACCUCUUUCAGCAGGGAAGAAGCGAAAGUGACGGUACCUGCAGAAGAAGCGCCGGCUAACUACGUGCCAGCAGCCGCGGUAAUACGUAGGGCGCAAGCGUUGUCCGGAAUUAUUGGGCGUAAAGAGCUCGUAGGCGGUUUGUCGCGUCUGCUGUGAAAUCCCGAGGCUCAACCUCGGGCUUGCAGUGGGUACGGGCAGACUAGAGUGCGGUAGGGGAGACUGGAAUUCCUGGUGUAGCGGUGGAAUGCGCAGAUUUCAGGAGGAACAC